UAAUAUAGAAGGAUGAUUUUUCAG
rnacentral:snRNA from 1 species